CGAAGCUUUGGAAGAUUGUCAUGAUAUCAAUAUUGAUUUCGCUGCGGAUUCUUCUGCAGAGGAAAACAAUGGGACAGAAGCUAUUAAAGAACAUUUGAACCGUAAUUGUGAUUUGAAAUUGAAUUUGGUAUCUACCGAAGCAAAUGGUUCUCUGAUUGUUGAAAUCCCUGUCGAAGCUAGUGUUGGUGGAUUUAGAGAACAAAAUGGAUCACUGGAUUCGUCUGCUUUUACUGAAGUUAUUGAGUUAUCAACUGCAGCAAAAACAACUGGAAAUGGAUCAUCCAUCGACGAUCCUGCAGGGAAAUUUGAAUGCUUACACUCUGGUGAUGAAAAUAAUCUACAAUCCAAUCUUCCUUCACCUACACAUUUGCAGUUGGAAAAUCCAAGUGUUUCUAGCACUAAUGGGAGGAGUGCCAGUGAUUCUAUGGACCCUCAAAGGAGUAAAUCCCUUGCCUCAAUAUUAUCCAAUAUUGAGAAUGAUAAGGGGUGGUGGGCUCCAUUUCCUGAAAUUCGGCAUAAAUACAUGAAGGAUCUGCAGAGAGGUUACCUGCCAAAAUUAGGAUCCAUCACAACCCAUGCUGUAGAAACUACAGCUUAUAAACUUGUUAUUGAUGAGG
rnacentral:misc_RNA from 1 species